CAGCGAGAUGGUUGGGUUCUGGAAGCACCAGGUGCAGCUGCUGGGACUGCUGGUUGGAGAAACAUUUGCCUCCUGAGCCCGUUAAUUAGCACAGUAACGGUAACUGUGCUCCAUUAGCCAACCCAUGUGGUCAAGUCCCCUCUCCGUCCACCAACCUUGCCCUUAAUGAGAGCUGGAAGAGGGACACUCACAAAACACUGCCUCAGAAUAAUAUUCGGCUUUGUGCACGCCGGUAACGAGAGCUGACAGGAUCACUACGUCCAUUUCUCUUCUAAUUAGCACACUUCCAGCUCGGCCUGAGCCAGCAGCCAGAGAAAAGCGAUCGGACAACCGUACCGAAUCACAAACACAAAGAGGCCCAUUCCCCGUAAUUAGGUGAGACAAUCCCUCAGUCUUUUCUCGGCUGGAGCUUGCCGGUAAGACUCUCGCUGUUUUGGUAAGUCCCAGCAACACAAGUUACACGUCUCCCCAGGACACUAAUAAGCCCCUAAUUGUCUUCCGCUUCACACGGCUCGUACCAUAGGUCUGACUUGGGGGAAUUCUUCUAACGAGCGGCAGGCAGCGCUCCCUGCGCCGCAGACGGACAGGGAGCCGCCUCUCGGGCACCGGCAGCACAAGGGGGACGGCGAGGAACAGCCAGAAAAGCAAUCCAGGCGCUGGGGCCCAGCCACAUGGCACGGGGCCACACGGUGCUGGGGACAUGGGCCUUCUCCAUCCUUUCUCCAUCUCCAUCGUCCACCUGCAUGGUGCAAACCUGAAUUCAGCUCUCUAGACUGUCUUAUCCUCUGUCAUCUCCAGCGGUACACAGGUACUUGUGCUUCCACGCAGAAAUGCACCAUCAAACCCAAACGUCUGGCUGCAAAGAUUUGCCUCGAGUCUCUGCUGAGGCUUGCUGCGAGCUGCCCUUACAGAAAUGCUGCACCUGGCAUGGGCUCUUCUCCAGUGAGGCUUUGCCAUGGCUCUGCCCCAGAGCUCAGCCUGGGAAGGAGCAUGCUGUAGUAGAAGACAAACCAUUGAAUAUCGUGAACACAAGGAAGGUGAACAGAACCACAGAACAAAAACCACAGUAGAACCUGAAAAAUCAUGAGGAGUGCACAGACAGCAAGGAAGAAAAAAUCCAAACAAUUGUUCCUGACAAUGAAAUAAAUGAAAGUUUCAAAAUGGAAUUAUCAGGUCAGAAGUACAGAAAAAUUACGACUAAGACAAAUUUAUGGAGGCUAAGGUCUACUGUGGACCAGAUUCAACUAAAACAGAUUGCUGGAUGCUGUGUAAGUUACCCUAAUCAAAAUCACUGUGUAAGCCUUUUGUUUAUAUCCUUCCCUAUCCUUCUACAAC